AUGCACACACGGCGAUGGGCUGCGCUGGAGCCCAGGUCAGCCUGGAGCACAGACCAGACAGACAGAGGAGCCGGAGAGCGAGCGAUGCCCGGGGUUCCUGCUGCUGAGCCCUUGCAUCCCCUGCCUUUCCACCGCCCACCCUGCCGUCCGGGUGGACACGGGCACUGGGGCAGAGGGACGUGGGCGUUACAGUCUCAGAGGGGUGGGGGAGGGGAGCAGAGGAAGGAAGCAGAACACACGGGGAGAAAUGGUUCGCUUGCUGUCCAAGUCCAAUGUUCCUCUUCUCCAAGUAACUUCGUAGCUUUGUUGCAGUCGUUUAAAAACCAGGAGAGGCUUGGAGCAAAACUUCACCACCACCCCCAGUGCGACCCGGGGCCUCUCACAGUGAGCGAUGGAGCGAGCAGAAGCACAGGGCAUGGACGACACACAGACUAGAAACUGGAGACAGACAUACACCAGCGACGCAGAUGGACGGACCCUGUCCCUCCAGCCCCUCCCCUGCCGCGGGGCCAGAAAGUGUGGCAGACGCGGAGAUGGCAAGCCGAUGGGGGGAAAGGGGAAGGGGGGGG
rnacentral:lncRNA from 1 species